UGCCUACGGGGGGCAGCAGUGAGGGAUAUUGGUCAAUGGGGGAAACCCUGAACCAGCAACGCCGCGUGAGGGAAGACGGUUUUCGGUACGUAAAGCUCUAUCAGCAGGGAAGAAAAUGACGGUACCUGACUAAGAAGCCCCGGCUAACUACGUGCCAGCAGCCGCGGUAAUACGUAGGGGGCAAGCGUUAUCCGGAUUUACUGGGUGUAAAGGGAGCGUAGACGGCAGCGCAAGUCUGGAGUGAAAUCCCAUGGCUUAACCAUGGAACUGCUUUGGAAACUGUGCAGCUGGAGGGCAGGAGAGGG
rnacentral:rRNA from 1 species